CGACGGGUGAGUAACACGUAUCCAACCUGCCGUCUACUCUUGGCCAGCCUUCUGAAAGGAAGAUUAAUCCAGGAUGGCAUCAUGAGUUCACAUGUCCGCAUGAUUAAAGGUAUUCCGGUAGACGAUGGGGAUGCGUUCCAUUAGAUAGUAGGCGGGGUAACGGCCCACCUAGUCUUCGAUGGAUAGGGGUUCUGAGAGGAAGGUCCCCCACAUUGGAACUGAGACACGGUCCAA
rnacentral:rRNA from 1 species